AUCGCGCACGUUUACAACGGCCCGGUUUAUGCUGUAAUCGGUCGUGCGAUAAGAUCACAGAAUGAGAUCAUUGCGAAUUUGCGACGAUGGCGUCAUUGUAUAUUGUAUACAUUAUGACAUUACACCGUUUACGGACUGCGACGUCUGGCCGCGUUAGUUAUAAAAGUGUGAUUUUUCGAUCGAAACGAUAUUGCCACCCCCCCUCU